GAUGAACGCUGGCGGCGUGCCUAAUACAUGCAAGUCGAGCGAAAAGCCCUGUUCCUGGUUCUCCUAAGGUUGCGGCCGGCGGGGUAAGAAAUACGUGAACAACCACCUACUAUGAUGGGAAUACAUUCGGAAACCGGGAGUAAUUACCGGUAAUUCUUUUAACCGGCUGGGUGUAUUAAGGAAUGAGGGUUUGGGGUUAACUUUACGUCGAAUCGCGCCGCAUUAGCCAGUUUGGCAGGUAACGGCUUACCCAGGCAACCAUGCGUAGCCGACCUGAGAGGGUGAUCGGCCACACUGGAAGUGAGACACGGUCCAGACUCCUACGGGAGGCAGCGGUAGGGAAGCGUCCGAAAUGGGCGAAAGCCUGACGGAGCAACGCCGCGUGAGUGAUGAAGGUCUUCGGAUCGUAAAACUCUGUUAUUAGGGAAGAACAAAUGUGUAAGUAACUAUGCACGUCUUGACGGUACCUAAUCAGAAAGCCACGGCUAACUACGUG
rnacentral:rRNA from 1 species